rnacentral:rRNA from 1 species
AUACGGGGGGUGCAAGCGUUGUUCGGAAUCACUGGGCGUAAAGCGCACGUAGGCGGCCGAUCGUGUCGAAUGUGAAAGCCCUCGGCUCAACCGAGGAAGUGCAUUCGAAACUGGUUGGCUUGAGGUCGGUAGAGGAGAGUGGAAUUCCGGGUGUAGAGGUGAAAUUCGUAGAUAUCCGGAGGAACACCAGUGGCGAAAGCGACUCUCUGGGCCGAUUCUGACGCUGAGGUGCGAAAGCGUGGGGAGCAAACAGGAUUAGAUACCCCAGUAGUCC